UACGUAGGGGGCUAGCGUUGUCCGGAAUCAUUGGGCGUAAAGCGCGUGUAGGCGGUCCGGUAAGUCCGCUGUGAAAGUCGGGGGCUCAACCCUCGGAUGCCGGUGGAUACUGUCGGGCUUGAGUACGGAAGAGGCGAGUGGAAUUCCUGGUGUAGCGGUGAAAUGCGCAGAUAUCAGGAGGAACACCAAUGGCGAAGGCAGCUCGCUGGGCCGUAACUGACGCUGAGGAGCGAAAGCAUGGGGAGCGAACAGG
rnacentral:rRNA from 1 species